UUCCUGGCUUUCACUUCGACAUCUCCUUUCUAAUGACAGUCCGUACAGAGGUUGAGACCGCUGGAAGGAGACCGACUGCCCGAGUGGACAAUUUAAUCAAAAAAUGAGGAUGUAGCACCAGGAACUGAAUAGUUCUGCAGACCCUUGAAAUAGAAAUUUUGAGAGGGAGGAGAAAUGAGGCAGAUCGCUGUAAGGAGAGAUUCAGGACAUUCUCCACGUUUGUGCCCCCACGGUGAAUACUACUUGACGCUCGUGGCCGCCAUCCAUUUUACGAACACCCGCUGACCACUUCGCUUUCCGCUUCUCGAAUAAGCAGGAUGUCUCUCCUUGUGAAAUCAUAAGCAGUAUUGUUAUCCAUUCUCUGUAGUGGGCGGUCUUCAUAAAACUACUCAGAAAUUCAUUGAGCUGUUUCAUUCUUAGAUUCGUAAGAGGUACUUGAAAUUCGUGUUAGCUCUACUCUCUUAAUUGAUAGAAUAACGUUCUUUUAUAAAACCAGAAUAAACCAAGGGAUAUAUAAUUUUUGGGAAAUGUUAUUUGUGAAUAAUUUAUGUGUGGAAGCUGGACAGCUGAUAUGCUCAUAAGUGCAUUUGUAAAACUUUUAACUUCAUGCAUUGUACAAUUCUUACAUAUUUCAUUAUCCUUCAUAAAAUAAUGUCUUGUACCUAACAAUACCGAGGCCAUGGGCUGUAGCACCAGCGGAUGGAUGGAUAGAUAUAUGUAUACAACAAUAAAUGUCUGAGCAUUA